rnacentral:lncRNA from 1 species
AAUUUUCUUAGGAUAAUGGCCUCCAGCUUCAUCCAUAUUGCUGCAAAAAAAUGUGAUUUUAAUGUUUUUUAUGGCUGAGUAUACUUUCAGUCCAAUUAGAUUAUUUCCUUUCUGCAAGAAUCAUUGUCCAUUUUUAACAUUCAGUUGAGUCUAGGAAACUUGCAUAAUUUUUAUUCCACAUUUUUCUUCUUGAAAAAAAGACUUGGACUUUCUAAUUCCAUCUUAGCCUAGUGGAUAGAGUAAAUACUCCGGAAAUAAAAAGUGCCAGACAAGGGUCUUUAGUAGAAUGAGGAGCAUGGCACAGAGAGAACCUUCUUCAAUGAUGCUACAAAUCUUCAGUAAAAACUCCCAUGUGCGCUCCCGCACACACAAACACACAAACACACACACUCUUACUUAUUUGGAUUUCUUGUUAAAGAUUAUUAUUUUGUAGCUAGAUAAUAAUGGAACAAAACAGUCAGUGUGUGUGGUGGAGAGAACUGAUUGUAUCUGUAAUGCAUGAGCGUUAACUAGAGUCAUUCAUGUACAAAGGUUAAAAACGAUGUGGUAUACAGGCAAAGGAGGAUAUGUGCAUUUUCACUGGAUCUUGUUGUUUGGGCACCUGAGACAAGCUGGCAGUCACUAAAUCUCAGCGAUCACUCAAUGUGUGCCAGGCAUUCGCACACAAUAUCACUAACACCCAUGACAGUCCUUCAAGAGAGGUUCUGCUGUCUGAGAGAUUAUGUGACACGCCUAAGGUCACAGGAUCAGCAAAUACUAGGGCUGAGAUUUAAACCCAGAACUGUCUACUGCCAAAGCUUUUGCGCUCUCCCUCGUGCCACGUUGCUUCUCAUUUUGGGCUUGGUCUCCACUUCCCAGUCCUUGAAGGAGUUCUCCAGGUCUGCCCCAUUAGCACUGCAUCUCAGAAGGAAGCUGCAGCUGCGCCGCCAAUCUCCCGGUGGUAGGUGCUUAAUAAACAUUAUGAAGUGCAUGAACAAAUGAAUAGCCCCUGAUGGACAGACAUGCUUGAGAAACACUAUUUUUCACAUUCCUAUCUACACUCAAGAUUUUACCUAUGAUAGCAGGCUGAAGAUUCCCAGGAUCUUACAUCCUAGCAGGGGGAAGCUCAAGGGAAAGCCAGGAGGAGAAAGCCUUUGGGGAGGAAGUGAGACAUGCACUGAACUUUGAGAGAAGGACGUAUGGAUUGGUGAAGGUAACUGGGAGAACUCAAGCAAAGGCACAGAGUGGGGAGUUCAUGUGUAAUGUCCCAGAAGGAAGGUAGCUGUGGAAUGACCAGAGCCAUAGAUGCAAAGAAGGAAGUAAAGGAAAGGGAUGGAGUGUUUGCCACAAGCUUCUCUUUAUUCUGAAAGCCAGAAAACUCAAAUCCAGGGUUGGAAACUACUGUUUCUAUAAACAAAGUUUUAUUGAAACAGAGCCAUGUCCAUCCAUUUCUGUAUUGUCUAUUGCUACUUUCACCACAAGGGCAGAGUUGAGCAGUUGCAAUGGAGACUGAAUGGCCCACGAAGUCAAAAAUAUUUAUUAUCUUGCCCUUUACAGAAAAAGUUUGUUGACUCCUGCUUUAGAUCCACGGUUUCAAUGAUCACAUGUCAAUUUUGCUACCUAGUCACUGGGUCAUCAAAGCACAUAGUUUCUUUCAUCCAUGAAAUGGAAAGCCCCCACUGGGAGACCAGUACUCAGGUGAGCAGAUUUGAGCUAGGAUUCCACAUUACCGCUUAUUAGUUGUGUGACCUGGAGCACUUCUCUGAACCUUGGUUUUCUCAUCUGUAUAACAGGUAAAAUAAUAGUAUAUACCUU